rnacentral:rRNA from 1 species
UACGUAGGGUGCGAGCGUUGUCCGGAAUUAUUGGGCGUAAAGAGCUCGUAGGCGGCUUGUCGCGUCGGAUGUGAAAGCCCGGGGCUUAACUCCGGGUCUGCAUUCGAUACGGGCAGGCUAGAGUUCGGUAGGGGAGAUCGGAAUUCCUGGUGUAGCGGUGAAAUGCGCAGGUAUCAGGAGGAACACCGGUGGCGAAGGCGGAUCUCUGGGCCGAUACUGACGCUGAGGAGCGAAAGCGUGGGGAGCGAACAGG